rnacentral:rRNA from 1 species
GACAGAGGUGCCAAGCGUUAGGCGGAAUCACUGGGCUUAAAGCGUGUGUAGGCGGGCGAUCAAGUACCUUGUGAAAUCCCACGGCUCAACCGUGGAACUGCUGGGUAUACUGGUUGACUUGAGCCAGCUAGGGGCGAGCGGAACAGACGGUGGAGCGGUGAAAUGCGUAGAUAUGACAUAGAACAUCGAUUGCGAAGGCAGCUCGCUACGCUAUUAUUGACACUGAGGCACGAAAGCGUGGGGAUCAAACAGG